rnacentral:rRNA from 1 species
ACCAGACUCCUACGGGAGGCAGCAGUGAGGAAUAUUGGUCAAUGGGCGGAAGCCUGAACCAGCCAAGUCGCGUGAGGGAUGACGGCCCUACGGGUUGUAAACCUCUUUUGUCGGGGAGCAAAGAGAGUCACGUGUGACUCAUUGAGAGUACCCGAAGAAAAAGCAUCGGCUAACUCCGUGCCAGCAGCCGCGGUAAUACGGAGGAUGCGAGCGUUAUCCGGAUUUAUUGGGUUUAAAGGGUGCGUAGGCGGGAUGCCAAGUCAGCGGUAAAAAUGCGGUGCUCAACGCCGUCGAGCCGUUGAAACUGGCGUUCUUGAGUGGGCGAGAAGUAUGCGGAAUGCGUGGUGUAGCGGUGAAAUGCAUAGAUAUCACGCAGAACUCCGAUUGCGAAGGCAGCAUACCGGCGCCCUACUGACGCUGAGGCACGAAAGCGUGGGUAUCGAACAGGAUUAGAUACCCGUGUAGA